rnacentral:rRNA from 1 species
CGGACGGGUGAGUAAUGUAUGGGGAUCUGCCUGAUGGCGGGGGAUAACUACUGGAAACGGUAGCUAAUACCGCAUAACGUCGCAAGACCAAAGCGGGGGACCUCCGGGCCUCGCGCCAUCAGAUGAACCCAUAUGGGAUUAGCUUGUAGGUAAGGUAACGGCUUACCUAGGCGACGAUCCCUAGCUGGUCUGAGAGGAUGAUCAGCCACACUGGGACUGAGACACGGCCCAG